rnacentral:sRNA from 1 species
UAGUUACAAUUCAUUCCCGAUAGGAUUCACUUAAUAGUGAAGAUGCCUUGUAACCAUUUAAAUUAAUUCAAAUGGGGGACGUUUAUA